rnacentral:tRNA from 1 species
AUUUAUAUAGUUUAACAAAAACAUUAUAUUUUCAUUAUAAAGAUAAAAUUAUAGUUUUAUAAAUU